CACAUACCCUUCUCCAGCCCCUCCCCAUACGAUGCUUUGCCACAUAGGCCACAUUUCUGCCCUUGAAAGAUUCUUUUAAGUCUUUGGAAGAGAAAGAGAGUGUGUAACCUUUCCUGAUCAACACAUGGGAAGCGCACCCCCACCGCCAGCCCCGCGCCACCAGGUCAAUUAAAGGCCAAUGCUGAGCCCUUCAAUCAAAAAGAAAGAAUUCCAUCUCCUCUCCUGGCUUCACGGCAACUACUGAAAACCGCGUCCCCUGGGGGACAUGAAGAAAUCAUCUAAUAGCUGUGUGUUUUAUUUCGUUAUUUUUUUAAAAUAGCAAUAUCAUUUUUAAUAGCUAUGUUUUAUAAUCUUGUUAUGUUCUCGUUACAUUAGAUUAUUGCUUAUUAUUUUUUUCCUGGUUGGGAAUCACAGUUUUGACUGCCUUAACUCAUGGCAACAAAACCCCAGGGCAAGUCUCUCUGAAACACA
rnacentral:lncRNA from 1 species